GAUGAACGCUGGCGGCGUGCCUAAUACAUGCAAGUCGAGCGAACGGACGAGAAGCUUGCUUCUCUGAUGUUAGCGGCGGACGGGUGAGUAACACGUGGAUAACCUAUCUAUAAGACUGGGAUAACUUCGGGAAACCGGAGCUAAUACCGGAUAAUAUUUUGAACCGCAUGGUUCAAAAGUGAAAGACGGUCUUGCUGUCACUUAUAGAUGGAUCCGCGCUGCAUUAGCUAGUUGGUAAGGUAACGGCUUACCAAGGCAACGAUGCAUAGCCGACCUGAGAGGUUGAUCGGCCACACUGGAACUGAGACACGGUCCAGACUCCUACGGGAGGCAGCAGUAGGGAAUCUUCCGCAAUGGGCGAAAGCCUGACGGAGCAACGCCGCGUGAGUGAUGAAGGUCUUCGGAUCGUAAAACUCUGUUAUUAGGGAAGAACAUAUGUGUAAGUAACUGUGCACAUCUUGACGGUACCUAAUCAGAAAGCCACGGCUAACUACGUG
rnacentral:rRNA from 1 species